GUCUUUUGGGUGCCAUCUGGGUGUAUUUCAAUAUAGUGCAUCCAGGUGUAUUUUAGUGGGAAUGUAAAAAAACCAAACUCAAACCCGAAGGUUGCCGAUGCCCAUUUUUUUACAAUCGUUUUUUUUCGGAACUGUUCUCUUGACAAACAAAUAAUAAAGACAAAAGGGAACAUGCAAGGAAGCGAGCGGUUUUUCUUGUCUCUUGCAUUUCUCGUCAGUUGCAUUUUUAGUUCUGAAAAGUGAAGUUCGUGCCACGUGUUUUGAAAAAGUGUGUUGCUUUCUGCCACCAAUUUUACAUCAAUAUUUUCACAGAAUCGCAAAAAAUGAAUGGGCACACCAAGGACUGAACUGCGUAAAUAACAAAAGUACAUAAACAAGAAGGAAGCACCGUACAGAAGGGGAGUUACUCCGAUUAAAAAUUAGUUGCGUUUUUGAAUAUUGAAAUGAAAAUAAAUAUGAAAUUGAAAUCCAGUUUUAUGUAUUCCUGGGGAAAACUUCCAGAUAUUUGGUUUUUGAAUGCUUCUAGGUGCAUUCCUGGGUACAUGUUACAGGUGCAUUAAAAAAGAGUACACCCAGAAUGUGUUUAGUAUGUUGCUCCCAGGUGCAUUAAAAAAGAGUACACCCAGAAUGUGUUUAGUUUGUUACUUCCAGGUGCAUUCCAGAUAUAUGCUUCCAGAAGCAUGCAACGGGUGCAUUCUUUUUUGUCCCGCACCCGUGUAAAAAGAAUGGACAGACUCAUCACUUCCGGAACACCUUUUUGAUGCCAUUUCAUAAUGAAAGAACGCAUGCUGGAAUGCUGACAUUUACGACUGGGUAGACGCACAUUCCGAUGUCUUGGUUUCCUAGGAAACCGCUCAAGGAAACGGGACCAUCGUGCUUCUUCUUCCUAUCUUCUCGUCGUUCUUUUCCUCUCUCGAUAUUCAUGUUCACUUCGAUUCUGGCGUUGAGAGCGUGCGGUUCACACAAUCUAA